rnacentral:rRNA from 1 species
UACAGAGGGUGCAAGCGUUAAUCGGAAUUACUGGGCGUAAAGCGUGCGUAGACGGUUAUGUAAGUCGGGUGUGAAAGCCCCGGGCUCAACCUGGGAGUGCCAUUCGAGACUGCAUAGCUAGGGUGCGGAAGAGGGAAGCGGAAUUUCCGGUGUAGCGGUGAAAUGCGUAGAUAUCGGAAGGAACACCAGUGGCGAAGGCGAGUCCCUGGACAACUCCUGACACUGAGGCACGAAAGCUAGGGGAGCAAACAGG